rnacentral:snRNA from 1 species
GGGAGCACAGCUACUCACAUGCCCUUGACAUCUGCCAUCCCACUGAUUGCUGGGGUCGAUUCUGCUGAUCUGGGUGGCUAGGCAGCUGACCCCUUCCUCCCUCACGGCUCCAUGUGUAUCCCUCCUGAAGCUGUGCACUAGGUCAAAGAGGAUGACCUUCCUGAUAGAGGAAAAAAUAAAGACAAACCCAGGAGAUAUUAGAAAAGAUCAAGUGAAUUAAAAAGCAAGGUUGAAUGUGUAUGUAAACUGCCACUCAAUUAAAGAAAAAUGUUCCUGUGUUAACUACAG